AAAGUGCAGAAGUCACCGGGUCGGGGAUCAAACCUGUACCACAGCAGUAAUCCGAGCCACUAUAGUGACAAGCCCAGACCCUUAACCUACUGAGCCACCAAGGAACUCUUGAGUUUCUUCUUUUUAAAGUAAGGAGGCCCAGGAGUUCCUGUCAUGGCUCAGUUGUUAACAAACCCGACUAGUAUCCAUGAGGACACGGGUUUGAUCCCUGGCCUCGCUCAGUGGGUUAAGGAUCUGGUGUUGCUGUGAACUGUGGUGUAGGUUGCAGAUGCAGCUCAGAUCCCGUGUUGCUGUGGCUGUGGUGCAUGUAGGCCGGCCGCUACAGCUCUGAUUCGACCCCGAGCCUGGGAACCUCCACAUGCCGUGGGUGAGGCCCUCAAAAGACCAAAAAAAAAAAAAAAAAAAAAAAAGGUGCAGAGGCACAAUAGGAAGAGCGCUGGGCUGGGAUGACUUUCCCUGUUGAGGAAAGCUUCUGGACUCAGAGCUGGAGGGCUCAGGACCUAGUCACAGCUCCAUCACUGAACGCCCAGGAGAUGUAUACAUGUCCUUUUCACCCAAGUCUCAGUUUUCUUCUCCUGUGAGGGGAGAGUAUUGAACAAAAGCGUGUGUAAAACGCCUAAGAUUCUAAAGUAGAACUUAAAAAUCUGAACAAGCAUUGUCCAUUUCAAAGUCCUCUCCAAAAGAAGCUACACCCUUAUUUCAAUGGUGCUACUAAGAAACAAAUCAUAUUUUUUGGAACCCUUUUCUGGAUACUGUCUUUGGAGAUAAACAAAGCUAAAGCUUGUUAUUUUAUGGUUAUACUUUACUUUGACCCCAUAUGGCAUUUUGCUUUUUUUUUUUUUUUUUGUCUUUUUGCCCUUUCUUGGGCCACUUCUGCGGCAUAUGGAGGUUCCCAGGAUACAGGGUCUCCUUGUGGGGAACCUUUUCAGCUCUUGUUUGCUUACUCUUUUCAUUUUCAUUUUAGAAAGGAAGUGGAAAUUAGGUCGAAGCAAUUCAAUAACAUUGCGAAAUCCUCAGGGUUAUAAAUAGCCCCUUGCUCUCCUGCUCAGCAGCUCUAUCGAGUUCAACAGCAAACAGCCUGAGUUUCAUGUCCAGGCCCAGAAGGCAAAAAAGUCUUGAACCCUCCUCCCUCCUCCUUCAAGUGGUACAGACACAAAGAUGGUCUGGAAAACUCUAAAUGUCACAAACAAGAGAGAGGCACACACUGAUCUGGGGAGGAUAAUUCUACUCUAAGGCAUGAGAGAAAAGUCUGGGUUUUCAAAGGCAAAGACCAGAAACAAGAGAAAAACAGGACCUUCGGGGUCUCCAAUGAACGUUCUCUCAGUGGAUUCUGGAAGGUGCUUACAAAGUCGGCGGAGUUACAAAAGGCCCCAAGGAGGUUCAUCAGUCACCAGCUCCUGCAGGGACUGGUCCAGGGAGCUGGAUUCUGAGCCUGGCAGAAAGGAAGUGAAAGAUGAUCCCUUCCCAUUAGUAAGGAAUUCAGAUCGAAGGCCAGAAGGUUUCCAGCUCCCCGCCUGCCCCCGUUCCUUUAAGGAUAAGGAUCAACACAUGUUCUUUGGCUUUUGAUUCAGAGGGAGAGGCUUGGGUAAGUUUGGCUUGUUUCCUACAGCAGGAAGUAGCACACCAGGAAGGCGAUCAGAGGUGACACCCUCUUUCUAAUCGAGAACACAAUCUCCACAGAGGCUUCUUCCUCUGAAGUCCAGCCAAGUGAGACGUGACACAACCUCCCUUGGUUCAGACCCUGAAAGAGGGUGAGACUCUGAGGUAUAAAGAGGGAGACGGGUCUGCAGAUUCAGGUUCUGACAUCGACUGCUGGAAACACUGAGCAGAACCAUCACACCAACGGCAGCUGAGGUUUCUCCUUUCUGAUGAAACUUGCCGGACACAAGACACACCCAAAUAUGUAGUUAAAAGCCACCCAGGGAGUUCCCGUUGUGGCUCAGCAGGUUAAGGACCAGAUGGUGUCUCUAAGAGGAUGCGGCUUCAAUCCCUGGCCUUGCUCAGUGGGUUAAGGAUCCUGCCUUGCCGCAAACUGUAGCAUGGGUCACAGAUGUGGCUCAGACCAGUGUUCCUGUGGUUGUGGGGCAGGCCGGCAGCUGCAGCUCCGAUUUGACCCCUAGCCUGGGAACUUCUACUUAAAGCCACAAGUGUGGUGAAGAAGGGUGUGGAACAGAGUCGGGCUUCUUUAACACCUACCCUGAGGAUUGCCCAGGUCUGCUCUUCUGCUUAAAAACCUCCUGCAGUGUUCCUAUCCUUCCAGAAUGAGCCUAGACCCCUCAGGAGAGCACCCAGCUUCUUCCAGUCCCGAGGAGCCUCCAGAUGACCCUUAGACAUUACGCUCGCCUGUCACAGCAGACCACCUGCUUCCCCCAAACUCGCUCUCUUCUGGUUUCUGCCAUCAUUCCCUCCACUUUGUCCGGCUGACGAAGACCUACUCGUGCUUCAAGGCCCAGCUCCUUCAGUCACUCCCCUGUGUGGCCUUCCUAAUUCUUACCUCAGGCAAAACGAACUGCGCCCUCAUCCGCGCUCCUGUCCCAACCCCACUGACAGGUUUCUUUCUCUUGAUGUUCAAAGUGUGGUCUGCACUCCAGCACCAUCGACACUGUCUGGGCGCCUGCAGUAACGCAGCAACGCUCACUCCAGCCCAGACCCGCCGAAUCAGAACCUGCCUUCUAACAAGAUCCCCAGGUGCUUCACAUGCACAUUACAGUCUGAGAAGCAGAGUCUAGACCGGUGGUUCGCAGCUCUGGUGGUGCCUUGUCGAUGCCCACUCCAGGGCGCCGCAAGCCUGUCUGGUGAUUCUAACAAGUGGCCGGGGCUGGGAGCUGUUAGCUGAGGGCAGGGACCCAGCAAGUCUGCAGCUACUCCCGGGUCUCCUGCGCUGGCGGCACAGUGCCAGGCGCACCGGCCUGACUGCCUUUAAAAGAGAAUAAAAACUCUUAAUGACGGAGGACUAGCCAUUGCCUAGAGCUCUGCAGGUCCCUGACCACAGUCAUCGAGAGGGAUGUAGAGGGCUCAGUGUUUCCAGACCGCUUGCCUCAGUUUUUGGAAAUGAAACAGAAACUGAAGUAGUAAAUACAGAUGAAUGAGAAGAAACUGUCUGCCUUCAUGGGGCUGCCAUGGUUGCAGCGGGGAGGGAGGGAGGGAGCGUGCUGAGCUGAGAGGCCCUGCGUUAGGACUGAAAUCCCAGGCUGGUGACCCGACGCCUUCAAUACCAACCACAACAACACAGCACUGUUCUUGCUGGAAAGUCAGGCCAAGCCUCUUGUUUUAUAAUAAGCGAAAGGAGGUCCAGGGAAGCUGGCCAGGCUACACCACCAGUCAGGCACAAAAGAAGGCGUAACCCCCCUCUUCUGGGUCAGCCCUCCCCCUGCAGCACAGGAAACCUGACUGCCCAGCUCUGCCCCCAGCACGAGCCUCUCUGACCUU
ensembl:lncRNA